GCUGAGACUGAAGUCACACCCUGACACUAUUUGUCCUGGGAUGCUAGAGUUCUCGGAGAGAAUUUGCUAGUCUUCAUUCAGUGGUGGAGGCUAUUUGUGCCCAUCAGAAACAUGG
ensembl:snoRNA